GUGAGGAAUUUUCCGCAAUGGGCGAAAGCCUGACGGAGCAAUGCCGCGUGAAGGAUGAAGGCCUAUGGGUUGUAAACUUCUUUUCUCAGAAAAGAAUUAUGACGGUAUCUGAGGAAUAAGCAUCAGCUAACUCUGUGCCAGCAGCCGCGGUAAGACAGAGGAUGCAAGCGUUAUCCGGAAUGAUUGGGCGUAAAGCGUCUGUAGGUUGUUUAAAAAGUAUUCUGUCAAAGAUUAGGGCUUAACCCUAGAUAGGCAGAAUAAACUUUUAAGCUAGAGUUUGGUAGAGGCAGAGGGAAUUCCCGGUGGAGCGGUGAAAUGCGUAGAUAUCGGGAGGAACACCAAAGGCGAAGGCACUCUGCUGGGCCAAUACUAACACUGAGAGACGAAAGCGAGGGGAGUAAAUGGGAUUAGAAACCCUUGUAGUCC
rnacentral:rRNA from 1 species